ncrna:unclassified sequences DTF3800-X RNA
GGGUGGGUAACUGCGGGCCCGGCGCACGCCGGGAACCUGCCUCCUCCCCGAAAGUAUGAGGCCGCCGGACGGCGGACCGGAGGCGAGUAGGGGAGGGGCCACCU